UCUCCGUAGGUGAACCUGCGGAGGGAUCAUUACAGAGUUCAUGCCCUACCGGGUAGAUCUCCCACCCUAUGUUAUUAUUACUUUGUUGCAUUGGCGGGCCGUUAGGCUCCGGCCCGACUACCGGCCCCGGCUGGUAAGCGCCCGCCAGAGGACCCAAAACCCUGAAUAUUAGUGUCGUCUGAGUACUAUAUAAUAGUUAAAACUUUCAACAACGGAUCUCUUGGUUCUG
rnacentral:misc_RNA from 1 species